UUCGCCCUUAGAGUUUGAUCCUGGCUCAGGACGAACGCUGGCGGCGUGCCUAACACAUGCAAGUCGAGCGAGAAUUUCGUAACGGAUUCCUUCGGGGAGAAGAUACGGAAGGAAAGCGGCGGACGGGUGAGUAACGCGUGAGUAACCUGCCUAUCAGAGGGGGACAACAUUUCGAAAGGGAUGCUAAUACCGCAUAAUAUUGUUUUACCGCAUGAUAGAACAAUCAAAGAUUUAUCGCUGAUAGAUGGACUCGCGUCUGAUUAGAUAGUUGGUGGGGUAAAGGCCUACCAAGUCGACGAUCGGUAGCCGAACUGAGAGGUUGAUCGGCCACAUUGGGACUGAGACACGGCCCAGACUCCUACGGGAGGCAGCAGUGGGGAAUAUUGCACAAUGGGGGAAACCCUGAUGCAGCGACGCCGCGUGGAGGAAGAAGGUCUUCGGAUUGUAAACUCCUGUUGUUGGGGAAGAUAAUGACGGUACCCAACAAGGAAGUGACGGCUAACUACGUGCCAGCAGCCGCGGUAAAACGUAGGUCACAAGCGUUGUCCGGAAUUACUGGGUGUAAAGGGAGCGCAGGCGGGAAGACAAGUUGGAAGUGAAAUCUAUGGGCUCAACCCAUAAACUGCUUUCAAAACUGUUUUUCUUGAGUAGUGCAGAGGUAGGCGGAAUUCCCGGUGUAGCGGUGGAAUGCGUAGAUAUCGGGAGGAACACCAGUGGCGAAGGCGGCCUACUGGGCACCAACUGACGCUGAGGCUCGAAAGUGUGGGUAGCAAACAGGAUUAGAUACCCUGGUAGUCCACACCGUAAACGAUGAUUACUAGGUGUUGGAGGAUUGACCCCUUCAGUGCCGCAGUUAACACAAUAAGUAAUCCACCUGGGGAGUACGACCGCAAGGUUGAAACUCAAAGGAAUUGACGGGGGCCCGCACAAGCAGUGGAGUAUGUGGUUUAAUUCGACGCAACGCGAAGAACCUUACCAAGUCUUGACAUCCCUUGACAGACAUAGAAAUAUGUAAUCUCUUCGGAGCAAGGAGACAGGUGGUGCAUGGUUGUCGUCAGCUCGUGUCGUGAGAUGUUGGGUUAAGUCCCGCAACGAGCGCAACCCUUAUGGUCAGUUACUACGCAAGAGGACUCUGGCCAGACUGCCGUUGACAAAACGGAGGAAGGUGGGGAUGACGUCAAAUCAUCAUGCCCUUUAUGACUUGGGCUACACACGUACUACAAUGGCGUUAAACAAAGAGAAGCAAGACCGCGAGGUGGAGCAAAACUCAGAAACAACGUCCCAGUUCGGACUGCAGGCUGCAACUCGCCUGCACGAAGUCGGAAUUGCUAGUAAUCGUGGAUCAGCAUGCCACGGUGAAUACGUUCCCGGGCCUUGUACACACCGCCCGUCA
rnacentral:rRNA from 1 species